rnacentral:rRNA from 1 species
AGAGUUUGAUCCUGGCUCAGGACGAACGCUGGCGGCGCGCCUAACACAUGCAAGUCGAACGAGCGAGAGAGAGCUUGCUUUCUCAAGCGAGUGGCGAACGGGUGAGUAACGCGUGAGGAACCUGCCUCAAAGAGGGGGACAACAGUUGGAAACGACUGCUAAUACCGCAUAAGCCCACGGCUCGGCAUCGAGCAGAGGGAAAAGGAGCAAUCCGCUUUGAGAUGGCCUCGCGUCCGAUUAGCUAGUUGGUGAGGUAAUGGCCCACCAAGGCGACGAUCGGUAGCCGGACUGAGAGGUUGAACGGCCACAUUGGGACUGAGACACGGCCCAGACUCCUACGGGAGGCAGCAGUGGGGAAUAUUGCACAAUGGGGGAAACCCUGAUGCAGCGACGCCGCGUGGAGGAAGAAGGUCUUCGGAUUGUAAACUCCUGUUGUUGAGGAAGAUAAUGACGGUACUCAACAAGGAAGUGACGGCUAACUACGUGCCAGCAGCCGCGGUAAAACGUAGGUCACAAGCGUUGUCCGGAAUUACUGGGUGUAAAGGGAGCGCAGGCGGGAAGACAAGUUGGAAGUGAAAUCUAUGGGCUCGACCCAUAAACUGCUUUCAAAACUGUUUUUCUUGAGUAGUGCAGAGGUAGGCGGAAUUCCCGGUGUAGCGGUGGAAUGCGUAGAUAUCGGGAGGAACACCAGUGGCGAAGGCGGCCUACUGGGCACCAACUGACGCUGAGGCUCGAAAGUGUGGGUAGCAAACAGGAUUAGAUACCCUGGUAGUCCACACCGUAAACGAUGAUUACUAGGUGUUGGAGGAUUGACCCCUUCAGAAACACCAGUUACACAAAUAAGUAAUCCCACCUGGGGAGUAAGGCCGCAAGGUUGAAACUCAAAGGAAUUGACGGGGACCAGCACAAGCAAUGGAGUAUGUGGUUUAAUUCGACGCAACGCGAAGAACCUUACCAAGUCUUGACAUCCUGCGACGCACAUAGAAAUAUGUGUUUCCUUCGGGACGCAGAGACAGGUGGUGCAUGGUUGUAGUCAGCUCGUGUCGUGAGAUGUUGGGUUAAGUCCCGCAACGAGCGCAACCCUUACUGUCAGUUACUAAGCAAGAGGACUCUGGCAGGACUGCCGUUGACAAAACGGAGGAAGGUGGGGAUGACGUCAAAUCAUCAUGCCCUUUAUGACUUGGGCUACACACGUACUACAAUGGCGUUAAACAAAGAGAAGCAAGACCGCGAGGUGGAGCAAAACUCAGAAACAACGUCCCAGUUCGGACUGCAGGCUGCAACUCGCCUGCACGAAGUCGGAAUUGCUAGUAAUCGUGAAUCAGCAUGCCACGGUGAAUACGUUCCCGGGCCUUGCAAACGCCGCCCGUCA